GACGAACGCUGGCGGCGUGCUUAACACAUGCAAGUCGAACGGUCAGGCCCUUCGGGGUACACGAGUGGCGAACGGGUGAGUAACACGUGGGUGAUCUGCCCUGCACUUCGGGAUACGCCUGGGAAACUGGGUCUAAUACCGGAUAGGACCACUGCCUGCAUGGGUGGCGGUGGAAAGCUUUUGCGGUGUGGGAUGGGGCCGCGGCCGAUCAGCUUGUUGGUGGGGUGAGGGCCUACCAAGGCGACGACGGGUAGCCGGCCUGAGAGGGUGACCGGCCGAACUGGGACGGAGAUACGGCCCAGACUCCUACGGGAGGCAGCAGUGGGGAAUAUUGCACAAUGGGCGCAAGCCUGAUGCAGCGACGCCGCGUGAGGGAUGACGGCCUUCGGGUUGUAAACCUCUUUCAGCACCGACGAAGCGCAAGUGACGGUAGGUGCAGAAGAAGGACCGGCCAACUACGUGCCAGCCGCCGCCGUAA
rnacentral:rRNA from 1 species